rnacentral:lncRNA from 1 species
CAGGCUUGUAACUUCCAAAACGAAUAAGAAAUAUCAGUUGUUUGCGUGCCCUAUGAAGACAAGACUGCUAAAAUCAGUUUCCUAUUGAAGAUACUUCUUUCUGUAAGAAAUAUUAUAGUUUGAUUACAUUUUAGGGUAUCCCAGGAGUAAAUAAAAACGUAUUUUGACUUGUUGAAACAAAGUUUAGGGGUAGAUUUUCGGAUUCCUUUCUCUGCACGUUGAAUGAGUGGAUUACUCAUAUCGAUGGCGCCAACUAAACUGACUUUUUGGGAUAUAAAGAAGGAGUUUAUCUAACAAAAUGACACUACAUCUUAUAGCUGGGACCCUUUGGAUGACAAAUCAGAGGAAUAUUUUUCAAAAAAAUCUUCAAAGUAGCCACCCAUUGCCUUGAUGACAGCUUGGCAUUCUCUCAACCAGCUUCACCUGCAUGCUUUUCCGACAGUCUUGAAGGAGUUCCCACAUAUGCUGAGGACUUGUUGGCUGCUUCUCCUUCACUCUGCGAUCCAACUCAUCCCAAACCAUCUCAAUUGGGCUGAGGUCGGGUGAUUGUGGAGGCCAGGUCAUCUGAUGCAGCACUCCAUCACUCUCCUUCUUGGUCAAAUAGCCCUUACACAGCCUGGAGGUGUGUUGGGUCAUUGUCCUGUUGAAAAACAAAUGAUAGUCCCACUAAUCCCAAACCAGAUGGGAUGGCGUAUCGCUGCAGAAUGCUGUGGUAGCCAUGCUGG